rnacentral:rRNA from 1 species
UUAAGCUAAUAAGAGCGCAGGGAGGAUGCCUUGGCAUCAGGAGCCGAUGAAGGACGCGGUAAGCUGCGAAAAGCUCCGGGGAGUGGCAAGCACACAUUGAUCCGGAGAUGUCCGAAUGGAGCAAUCCACAUGAGUGAAGCUCAUGUAUCAUAUACUGAAUAAAUAGGUAUAUGAGGGGAACCGUCUGAACUGAAACAUCUAAGUAGGACGAGGAAAAGAAAUCAACCGAGAUUCCGCUAGUAGUGGCGAGCGAACGCGGAAGAGGCUAAACCAGAGUCAGCAAUGACUUUGGGGUUUGGACUGCAUUUAGUAUCAAUGAGGUCUAGUCGAAGUACAUGGGAAGGUACAUCGAAGAGGGUGAGAAUCCCGUAGACGAAAGAUCAAGUUGGCGAGCAGUAUCCAGAGUACCGCCGGACACGUGAAACCCGGUGGGAACAUGGGGGGACCAUCCUCCAAGCCUAAAUACUACCUGAUGACCGAUAGCGCAUAGUACUGUGAAGGAAAGGUGAAAAGAACCCCGGGAGGGGAGUGAAAGAGAGCCUGAAACCCUGUGCUUACAAGCACACAGAGCACGUCAAAGUGUGAUGUGGUACCUAUUGUAGAAUGGUCCGGCGAGUUAUUUUAUGCAGCGAGGUUAAGGACUUAAGGUCUGUAGCCGAAGUGAAAGCGAGUGUUAAUAGCACGAAACAGUUGCAUGCAAUAGACCCGAAACCGGGUGACCUAUCCAUGUCCAGGCUGAAGUGAGGGUAAAACCUCAUGGAGGGCCGAACCGACUCCCGUUGAAAUGGUAGCGGAUGAGGUGUGGAUAGCGGAGAAAUUCCAAUCGAACCCGGAUAUAGCUGGUUCUCCCCGAAACCGUUUUAGGACGGGCCUCGUGUGAAGAUUAUCGGAGGUAAAGCACUGAAUAGCCUAGGGGGCGAGAGCCUACCGAAGCUUAUCAAACUCUGAAUGCCGAAUAAUCGUUUCACGGGAGUCAGACUGUGUGAGAUAAGUUUCAUAGUCAAAAGGGAAACAGCCCAGACCCACAGCUAAGGUCCCAAAGUGUAUUUAAGUGGAAAACGAUGUGAAGUUGCGUAGACAACCAGGAUGUUGGCUUAGAAGCAGCCACUCAUUAAAAGAGUGCGUAAUAGCUCACUGGUCGAGUGACUUUGCGCGGAAAAUUUAACGGGGCUAAAAUACACACCGAAGCUUGGGCUUGACGCUUUUGCGUCAGGGGUAGGGGAGCGUCGUGUAAGGGGCGAAGUCGUAUCGUAAGGGACGGUGGACUUUACACGAGUGAGAAUGCCGGAAUGAGUAGCGAGAAUUAUGUGAGAAUCAUAAUGGUCGAAAGCCUAAGGUUUUUGGAGGAAGGUUCGUCCGCUCCAAGUAAGCCGGGAGCUAAGGUCAGGCGGAAACGCGUAGCCGAUGCACAUACGGUUGAAAUUCCGUAGCCUCAGAAAGAUUUAAGCGAAGGGACACUUUGAAAGGACUGUAGCCGGGUGUUGGUUACCCCGGUCGUAAGGGAACGAAAUUAAGUAGUGAAGGCAGUCUGGACGGAGGCGAGAAAAGCUUCGUGUAUAUCUUAUGAGCCCGUACCGCAAACCGACACAGGUAGGUGGGAUGAGAAUUCUAAGACCAACGGGAGAAGGGUAGUUAAGGAACUCGGCAAAUUGUCCCCGUAACUUCGGAAUAAGGGGAGCCUGCGAAAGCAGGCCGCAGAGAAUUGGCCCAGGCGACUGUUUAUCAAAAACACAGCUCUAUGCUAAAUCGAAAGAUGACGUAUAUGGGGUGACACCUGCCCGGUGCUGGAAGGUUAAGAGGAGAUGUGAGAGCAUCGAAUUGAAGCCCCAGUAAACGGCGGCCGUAACUAUAACGGUCCUAAGGUAGCGAAAUUCCUUGUCAGGUAAGUUCUGACCCGCACGAAUGGUGUAACGAUCUGGGCACUGUCUCGACUACCCGCCCGGCGAAAUUGUAGUACCGGUGAAGAUGCCGGUUACCCGCGACUAGACGGAAAGACCCCAUGGAGCUUUACUGUAGCUUAAUAUUGGAUUUCGGCAGUUCAUGUACAGGAUAGGUGGGAGACUAUGAAACACGGGCGUCAGCUUGUGCGGAGUCGUCCUUGGGAUACCACUCUUGGAUUGCUGGAAUUCUAACCUGCGGCCCUGAAUCGGGUCGGGGGACAUUGUUAGGUGGGCAGUUUGACUGGGGCGGUCGCCUCCAAAAGAGUAACGGAGGCGCUCAAAGGU